rnacentral:rRNA from 1 species
AAAUUGAAGAGUUUGAUCAUGGCUCAGAUUGAACGCUGGCGGCAGGCCUAACACAUGCAAGUCGAACGGUAACAGGAAACAGCUUGCUGUUUCGCUGACGAGUGGCGGACGGGUGAGUAAUGUCUGGGAAACUGCCUGAUGGAGGGGGAUAACUACUGGAAACGGUAGCUAAUACCGCAUAACGUCGCAAGACCAAAGAGGGGGACCUUCGGGCCUCUUGCCAUCGGAUGUGCCCAGAUGGGAUUAGCUUGUUGGUGGGGUAACGGCUCACCAAGGCGACGAUCCCUAGCUGGUCUGAGAGGAUGACCAGCCACACUGGAACUGAGACACGGUCC